rnacentral:rRNA from 1 species
UAGCCUAAUACAUGCAAGUCGAACGGUCUUUCUAUGGAAGCUUGCUUCCACUGAGAAGAUAGUGGCGAACGGGUGAGUAACACGUGGGUAACCUGCCCAUAAGAGGGGGAUAACAUCCGGAAACGGGUGCUAAUACCGCAUAGUUUUCUUGAUCGCAUGAUUGAGAAAGGAAAGACGGCCUUUGUGCUGUCGCUUAUGGAUGGACCCGCGGCGUAUUAGUUAGUUGGUGAGGUAACGGCUCACCAAGACGAUGAUACGUAGCCGACCUGAGAGGGUGAUCGGCCACAUUGGGACUGAGACACGGCCCAAACUCCUACGGGAGGCAGCAGUAGGGAAUCUUCCGCAAUGGACGAAAGUCUGACGGAGCAACGCCGCGUGAGUGAAGAAAAGGUUUUUCGGAUCGUAAAACUCUGUUGUCAGAGAAGAACAAGUUGGAGAGUAACUGCUCCAGCCUUUGACGGUAUCUGACCAGAAAGCCACGGCUAACUACGUGCCAGCAGCCGC